CGGGGCCACAGCUAUUCUAGUGGGAUCUUCCAUAGGCAGGACUGUAUUAGUUACUUUUCAAGGACUGAGAGCCUCAGCAAACAAUUUUACAGAUCUCCAACGACCCGUUGUCAUGAACAGCAAACCUCGGUCCCUCCACGGAUUCAGAAGAGUCAUCCCUGCUCCUGUUAAACAUUCAGAAAAUAAAAGCCAUUUAAGUCUCAAAGUUCACUCAGGUCAAAUUAAAUAUGAACACCUCAGCGGUCUAAAGGGAUAAACAUCGCACUGUGGCAGGAAAGAUGAAAUAAAAGUUGCUGAAUAGAACAUUA